rnacentral:rRNA from 1 species
AAUAGAUAUCCCGGUAGUCCACGCCGUAAACGAUGAGUGCUAAGUGUUGGGGGGUUUCCGCCCCUCAGUGCUGCAGCUAACGCAUUAAGCACUCCGCCUGGGGAGUACGGUCGCAAGACUGAAACUCAAAGGAAUUGACGGGGGCCCGCACAAGCGGUGGAGCAUGUGGUUUAAUUCGAAGCAACGCGAAGAACCUUACCAGGUCUUGACAUCCCGGUGACCACUAUGGAGACAUAGUUUCCCCUUCGGGGGCAACGGUGACAGGUGGUGCAUGGUUGUCGUCAGCUCGUGUCGUGAGAUGUUGGGUUAAGUCCCGCAACGAGCGCAACCCUUAUUCUUAGUUGCUAUCAUUCAGUUGGGCACUCUAAGGAGACUGCCGGUGAUAAACCGGAGGAAGGUGGGGAUGACGUCAAAUCAUCAUGCCCCUUAUGACCUGGGCUACACACGUGCUACAAUGGACGGUACAAACGGUUGCUAACCCGCGAGGGGGAGCUAAUCCGAUAAAACCGUUCUCAGUUCGGAUUGUAGGCUGCAACUCGCCUACAUA